GAUGAACGCUGGCGGCGUGCCUAAUACAUGCAAGUCGAGCGAACGGACGAGAAGCUUGCUUCUCUGAUGUUAGGGACGGACGGGUGAGUCACCCGUGGCUAACCCACCUAUAAGGCUGGGCUUACUUCGGGUAGCCGUAGUUAAUACCGGAUGAUAUUUCUAACCGCAUGGUUCAAAAAUGUUAGACGGUUUUUCUGUCACUUAUAGGUCGAUCCGCGCUGCAUUCGCUAUUUGGUAUGGUAACGGCUUACCAAGGCAACGAUGCAUAGCCGACCUUUGAGGGUGAUCGGCAACACAGGAACUGAGCCAAGGUCAAGAGUCCUACAGGAGGCAGCAGUAGGGACUCGUGCGCGACGGGCGGAAGCCUGACGAAGCAACGCCGCGAGAGUGAUGAAAGUCUUCGGACGGUACAACUGUGUUAUUAGUGAAGAACAUAUGUGUAAGUAACUAUGCACGUCUUGACGGUAGCUAAUAAGAAAGCCACGGCUAAGUACGUG
rnacentral:rRNA from 1 species